rnacentral:rRNA from 1 species
AACGAACGCUGGCGGCAGGCCUAACACAUGCAAGUCGAGCGAGGUAGCAAUACCUAGCGGCGGACGGGUGAGUAACGCGUGGGAACGUGCCCCUUGGUACGGAAUAGCCCCGGGAAACUGGGAGUAAUACCGUAUGAGCUCUACGGAGGAAAGAUUUAUCGCCAAGGGAUCGGCCCGCGUUGGAUUAGGUAGUUGGUGGGGUAAUGGCCUACCAAGCCGACGAUCCAUAGCUGGUUUGAGAGGAUGAUCAGCCACACUGGGACUGAGACACGGCCCAGACUCCUACGGGAGGCAGCAGUGGGGAAUCUUAGACAAUGGGCGCAAGCCUGAUCUAGCCAUGCCGCGUGAGCGAUGAAGGCCUUAGGGUUGUAGAGCUCUUUCAGCGAGGAAGAUAAUGACUGUACUCGCAGAAGAAGCCCCGGCUAACUCCGUGCCAGUAGCCGCGGUAAUACGGAGGGGGCUAGCGUUGUUCGGAAUUACUGGGCGUAAAGCGCACGUAGGCGGACUGGAAAGUCAGGGGUGAAAUCCCGGGGCUCAACCCCGGAACUGCCUUUGAAACUCCCAGUCUUGAGGUCGAGAGAGGUGAGUGUAAUUCCGAGUGUAGAGGUGAAAUUCGUAGAUAUUCGGAGGAACACCAGUGGCGAAGGCGGCUCACUGGCUC